ACAGAGAACAUGAAAAAAUGGGUGUUGCCAUACCAAGUAUAACGAGAGUAAUCUGUUAAGGUGGUCUAUUGUGAGCAGGAGAAAAAAAAUACUGUUGGAAGUGGCCCG